AACGUUGAACAACACACCCAGAACAAAAUAAUGAAUUCACUAGGUUAAAUAGCUCAAUGUCAUGUGCCAAAUAUGUCAAGCUGUGGUCGUCAGCGCCCUCUUGUGGAUGAUGAGUUACUGUUGUUCAGAUCAUGAACUCGAGGUGUUCAGUCGCAGAUAUGGAAAAGACAGGUGUGGCUUCCUGGUUUCCCUUGUGAUGAAAUAAUAGAGAGGACGGGGAGGGUGAAGGGAUGACAGGAACUGUCUAAAUGACUAAGAUGCAUUGCAUACAAAAAGACCUGAUGCAGCCCUAAUAGUGACUCUUUUAUGCAAGUAUUUACCAGUCCUUUCUCCUUCAUUUACACUGUUCUGUUGCAUGUUUUAGACAUUUUGCUUUGUGUCUCUGAAUGCUCUGAUUAGUUAUCCCUAGAAUGCCAGUGUUUUGUGAUAACUUAUUUUUUUUCAUCUUUGACUUUUUCUAUCUGUAUUUGAAGGGCAGCUCAUCCCCCAGAGACGACUUUCUCCCACAAUGCCCUGACCCUGAGAUCUAUGUGUGGAAUUCUCUGCUCAUUUAUCAGUGUGGGCCUGCUCCUCUCCCUGCGCACUCUCAUUUUUUCACAGUCCCGAUCCUGGUACUGUUGCACCCCAAACUACAUCUGUGUAACUCUCAGACUUGCACACAACCGAGCAUACCUACAGCUGUGGGAAAAGUUAUGUGUUUUUCUCUCCAAAUUCAAAAUAUAAACACUUAAGAUAACAAAACAUAACUAAAUUAACAUAAAUAUUUUAGUUAAAAUAAGCUGUACUGUUUUACUUUUAAGUAUUAACGUUUUUUUUAUUGUUUUGUCACAAAUUUCAGAACCCUGAUGUCAAUUUUCAAAACUCUACAUACAAAACUCUAAACAGUCACUACUUUUAACGCAGACACUUCAGAGUUCAGUAAAGUAUAGGAUACAGGUUUUAUUAUGGUUUAUACAUAAGUGUUGAACAGUACAGACAGUGGAUACACUGAACUACUUUUACUCAUUCCAUCAUAAUGUAGGUUUACUGUAUUUUUUUUCUCACUGCACGUCCCCAUAUAGAAAGCUGAUAUAUGGCAUGAUAUAUGACAACAAAUGCAACUUACGAUUGGAUUCCGUACUGUAUAUUAGGCUUGCCACGUUAGACGGUGUUGACGGUGAUACCGGUUUUAAGACGCAACAACGGUGACAUCACUUUUUCACAGUGACACCGUCCCCACAUUUGUUUUUUGUUUUUUAAGUAUUUUUUUUUAUUAAAUGUUUAUUUGAAUUAAAUGGGAAACAUAAUUCUAAAUAAUUUACUUAAGACGAGAGCAUGCACUAUAAUUAUUAUCUGAAUAUAGCUACAAAGCAUCAUAUUUCAUUUAUCACAUGAAGAGAACGAGAGGAGUAGAAUUUACAGAAAGAGGAUGGCGGAUGAUUAAGAGUCAAAACGCAAUGCAAAAGCGCCUGUUUGGCUAUAUUUUGGGUUCGAACCAUAUGCAAAAAGAGAACCUGAAGACAUUAAUGUGGCAAUCUGCAAACUUUGCCUGACAAAGGUGGCAGCAGUUGGAGGAAACAACAAAUUUAUACACGCACUUUCAACACAUCUACAUAUAUGUUCAACUAUUGGUGGGUCGCGGGUAGAUAAAAUCAAUAGCCAUAAAUACGCAACACAUACUCUCAUUUUAAAAAUCACGCGACCAUCAUCCCACAAUGUUUAAUAAUAAAUUAUCUUUUUUUUUAUUAUUAAAACAAGAGUGAUUUAGCAAUGCCACGCCAUUAAUAAGCCAACUGUAGAAAAACAAAGCAACCAUCGCGGCAACAGCCGUGAGCACUUUUUCCAAAGUUCAGCUGUUCUUUUUUGCACUUGAUUAUUAUGCGUUUAAUGUUUAAAAAAAAUCAAUAAUGAAUAGGCCGACAAGAGUGUAGGCUAACCUGUGUGUGCGCGUGCUUUUAUCACUGAGGAUGCUCUCUUCAAAAACUGAAAGCUGCUUCGUCUGUCUGGCAAUAUUUCUGCUUUUAAUAAAUGAAAAGUUAAUUUAGAUGAGCCUAUAUUAAAAAUUGCAAUAAAGUAACUGACGUACGGCCACUUCGAAUCUGAGGUCUGAUCUCAUCUCUCUCUCGCUGUCAUCCAGACACAGACGCCUAACGAGUCAAGUCACAAAACUGAGGCUGGUACCAACUGACAGGUAGAAUAGCUGAAGCUUUUGCGAAAUCUGUCAAAAUACAGCACUGAAAUUAACAGGCAUAAAUGUCUUUGAGCCAGAAAGACUAUCUAGGAUAUCUGUCAAAACGCAAUUGGAGCCAAUGUUAUGGAGGAGUUGUGUAGCCUAUAAAUUAUAUUAUUUCAAAUAAAAUGAGAACCAAAAUAAACAAUUCAUUGCAUUUUUCGUUUAUGCUCUAUGUAUCAACACUGUGUACGCACAAAAACUUUGUGUACUACUUCCUACUUGUCCUUCUCGUGAUAAAUCGUAGGCAAAAUGGGUACGAUUUAUAAGGGUACUACAACAUUUUGCACCUAUACAUCGCAUUAUUUCUUUUUUUAAUCCACACAGUGCAAUGUUCAGACCCAACUGUGUUAACCGCAUCAGCUAAACUCUCCCA